UUUUUCUGCCCCGGCUCGUUGUUAGCUGUUAAUCAUAUUAAUGUUCUGCCGAUAUCGGUGGAUAUUUGGCCCCAAUCAGUUGGCAUCUACCAACUUGGAAAUGGACUGAACCACCGGUUGAUAAUAAGAAGGAUUUUCUAUGGGAUCGUGCAGGACCGCGAUACGCAAAAUCGUUGCCGGAGUUAGGGUUUCCGUGUUCGCCAAAAAGAGAAACAUGGCUCAAGAUUUUCAAAAUUCAAACAUCUUUUGGAGCUCAGCAUGAAAAACGAUUGGAAUUAACAAGAGUGAGAACUUUAACAAAAUCCUCUGUGCGAAUCUAUUAUAACCAACAAAGAAUCAACGGCUUCGUUUUUGGUAUCACAAGAAGAAAAAGGAUACCGGAGGACGCAAAAGCUUUGGUUCAUAAAUCAAUAUCUUCAGUAUUCGUGAAACGCCAUUAUGUUUCGAAAAAUACCAGCGGGAGGUGAAAAACAACAGCCUUCGACCGGUUGUGUUCAUUGCGUUGUUGUACUUCAAGGCCUUGUAACUACUCCCCACCUAAGCGGGUGUUUGAAAUUGUACAUGAAUUGAGAAUACUUUAUAAAAUAUAAAAUAAAAUGAAAAUAAUCGAAAUGCCAUUAUACAUAUAUUCAUUUUUGAACAGAUUCACAACGGAUUAUUCGAAAUUUAAAAUUAACUAAAAUUCUAGUAAUUUUUGGGGGUCAAUAAAUUUUUGCUUAAAUUUUAGCUAAAAUAAUUUUAUAUGCUGAAAAAUUAGUAAAAAUUUAGUCCGGACACUUUUCCACUAUUUUGCUAAAAUUUCAGUUAGAAAAAAUUGCUAAUUUCAUUGCUAACUUUUUAGCUGGUCAAAUUUGAGCAAAAUUUUGCUAAUUUCCGACCUCGAAAAUUUUG